CUGAACCAGCCAAGUAGCGUGAAGGAUGACUGCCCUAUGGGUUGUAAACUUCUUUUAUGAAGGAAUAAAGUCGGGUAUGCAUACCCGUUUGCAUGUACUUUAUGAAUAAGGAUCGGCUAACUCCGUGCCAGCAGCCGCGGUAAUACGGAGGAUCCGAGCGUUAUCCGGAUUUAUUGGGUUUAAAGGGGGCGUAGAUGGAUGUUUAAGUCAGUUGUGAAAGUUUGCGG
rnacentral:rRNA from 1 species